UGUACAUUGUGAAUGCUCUUAUUUUGAAUGGUCAUGUUCUAAAGUCAAUGUUAAAAAUAACUUGUGUAGAAUUCCAAAAGAUAAUGUCCUCUCUUUUAGACGGUAUUCCCUCUUGCAAUUCUAUGAGAAAACCCGAGUCAAAAUAUGAUAAGCAAAUGCAAUAAAAUUUACAUGUCUCAUAGGUAUAGAAACCAGGUUUGUUGUGGUGGAUCCUGACCACCUUACUUUCUUGCAAGCCCCGGGUUGUAGUUAUGUUCUCAAAUGAAUGAAUAAAAGAUUUCUAUUUAUGCAUUUGUUUCAUGCAUUAUCAUAAAUGAUGCUAGGUAGAUUCGUUUGCAUUUGUUUCAUGCAUUAUCAUAAAUGAUGGCCCAAGCCUGACAACCAGAAAUCACAUACAUAUGCAUCGUACCAGCUUCGGAGGUCGAGCAAAGAAGCGGAAGUCGACCAGAGAAGUAGAGAUCUAGUGGAGGAUGCCAGAUGCUGUCGUAACUUCAGAUAUAAAUCAGCCCCUCUUAAAUCCUUAUUCUUCCACAGAAUUCAACAUAUUCAUCAGCAUCAUUAAUUGCCAAGCAAAAGGUGGUGGUCAAGCUCUCAAUGAUAGAUGCCAAGAAGCGUUCAAAAGCCAUGAGAUGUGCUGCUGGAUUUCUUGGUAAUUCACUAACAAGCUCCAUUCCUCUCACUUUCGGCUCAUGAAACAGUAUUUAAUUCUUUUUUUUUUUUCUAAUUCUUCAAUUUUAAUUUUUUUUUUAAAUUUUAAUGAAAUAGGUUUAAGACCUCAUUCCAUUAAUAUUAUAUAUAUGUACUAAUGAUAGAUUAAUCUAUCAUUAUGAUUUUUCGAAUUCUUCAAUCUAUUAUAUAUAU